rnacentral:rRNA from 1 species
GGGACGAGAAGACCCUAUAGAGUUUUAUAUAUAAUUUAAUUAAGAUUAUUUUUUAAUUAAAAUUGAAAUUAAAUUAUAUAUUUUGUUGGGGUGACAGAAAAAUAAGUAAAACUUUUUUAUUUUAAAAACAUAUAUAAGUGAUUAAAUGAUCCAAUAAUAUUGAUUAUAAGAAAAAA